rnacentral:tRNA from 1 species
ACUGAAUUAGUUUAAGUUUUUUUAAAAUUAGAUGUUUGGGUCAUUUAGAUUUUUUUCAGU